rnacentral:tRNA from 1 species
AAUAAGAUGCCUGAUUAAAGGGUCACCUUGAUAGGGUGAAUAAAGUAUAUAUUAUACUCUUAUUA